AGUGAUUAAACAUUCAGUUGCUAACUGAAAGAUUAGUGGUUCAAACCCACUAGCCACUU
rnacentral:tRNA from 1 species